rnacentral:rRNA from 1 species
UUGUUUUUAGUGGCGCACGGGUGAGUAACACGUGAGUUACCUGCCCCCAAGAGUGGGAUAGCCCCGGGAAACUGGGAUUAAUACCGCAUAAUAUCGCAAGAUUAAAGGUGCAAACCGCUUGGGGAUGGGCUCGCGGCCUAUUAGUUAGUUGGUGAGGUAACGGCUCACCAAGGCGAUGACGGGUAGCCGGUCUGAGAGGAUGUCCGGCCACACUGGAACUGAGACACGGUCCAGACACCUACGGGUGGCAGCAGUCGAGAAUCAUUCACAAUGGGGGAAACCCUGAUGGUGCGACGCCGCGUGGGGGAGCGAAGGUCUUCGGAUUGUAAACCCCUGUCAAGUGGGAGCAAAUUAAAAAGAUAGUACCACUAGAGGAAGAGACGGCUAACUCUGUGCCAGCAGCCGCGGUAAUACAGAGGUCUCAAGCGUUGUUCGGAAUCACUGGGCGUAAAGCGUACGUAGGCGGCUUGGUAAGUCGUGUGUGAAAGGCAGGGGCUCAACCUCUGGACUGCACAUGAUACUGCCAGGCUAGAGUAAUGGAGGGGAAACCGGAAUUCUCGGUGUAGCAGUGAAAUGCGUAGAUAUCGAGAGGAACACUCGUGGCGAA